rnacentral:rRNA from 1 species
UACGAAGGGGGCGAGCGUUGUUCGGAUUUACUGGGCGUAAAGGGCGCGCAGGCGGCUCAUUUUGUCAGGCGUGAAAGCCCCGGGCUUAACCUGGGACUGCGUUUGAUACGGAUGGGCUAGAGUUCGGGAGAGGAGAGUGGAAUUCCCAGUGUAGAGGUGAAAUUCGUAGAUAUCGGGAGGAACACCAGUGGCGAAGGCGGGUCGCUGGACAGUUCCUGACGACUGAGGCCACGAAAGCCAGGGGAGCAAACGGG